GGGAUGUGUGCUGCCUCGGUUGGGGGCGCUCAGCCAGGAGCCCUAGCAGCACGGGGUUGCCCGUGUCACGGGAGAGGUCUUCCAGGGACUCUGCUCCACGUCACAGGGUGGCUACCGUGGCCCCGGCAUUGCCUCCAGACCCGGUGGCAUCAGGAAAGGGGAGCGGCUUUGCGGCUGGGAGGGAACCCUCGCCGAGAGGCCGCUGCCGUCGGAGGUCCGGCCCGGGCGCUCAUUGCCUCCCGAGCCCGCGGCGCGCAGGGUGCCGAGGGGUAAGGCACCCCGAGCGGGCCGCACCCCAGGAACUCCGCGUCCCCACGUCCGUCCCCAGGCCCGCUCGGGCCCCUGCUCGUCAGUCCUGCUGGGUUUCCUUUAGCGGAGCGUGCACUUCGCAGCACCCAGUCCUCUGACUGCAUGUCGCCCCGUUCUCCUUCUUCUGCCCUGGCUCACCGGACCGUCGGCGUGGGGGCCUGUGGGCGCCCCAGCUGCGGCGGGACACGACUCUGACGUCCCCGGUGCGACGGCCACCUGACCCAGCGAGCCCAGUAAAGCAGACUCCAGCCUGGUGUGGGGGGCCUCGGGCGGCCGGAGUCCAGGUGGCGGGGCCCGGGGCUGCGCCUGUGUCGGGUCGCCUUCGCUCCGUGCCAGUCUUUGCUGCCUUGCUGGGCAAGGGGGUCGGUCCUUGGGCCCAGCGUGCGGGGGACGGUGAGCCUGUGAUGCCCGUGCUGGUGGCGCCCAGCCAGGCGGGCCCUCUGACGACGCACCCUGGACAAAGACCGCAGACCCAGACCGGCACCUGCCACUUCGAGGCUCCUAGUCUUUAUUAUUCGGGGAAUGCAGCGUUCCCAGGGGGGGGGGAGGCCUCGGCUGAACCCACUUGUGGCCGCCAGGGGGCAAGCAGCUGCGGGGCAGGGAGGGCCGAGGACGGUGGCGUACCCAGGACUGAUGGCUAGGUACCACGUCCCCCUGGCGGUGACACCUGUGGCCUGCACUUCACGUCCCUGAGU
rnacentral:lncRNA from 1 species